GACAGAGGGUGCAAACGUUGUUCGGAAUUACUGGGCGUAAAGCGCGUGUAGGCGGCCCUGCAAGUCGGGUGUGAAAUCCCACGGCUCAACCGUGGAAGUGCACUCGAAACUGCAGGGCUAGAGUCCUGGAGAGGAAGGUGGAAUGCUUGGUGUAGAGGUGAAAUGCGCAGAUAUCGGGAAGAACACCCGUGGCGAAGGCGGCACUCUGGGACGGUACUGACGCUGAGACGCGAAAGCGUGGGGAGCGAACAGG
rnacentral:rRNA from 1 species